rnacentral:rRNA from 1 species
CCUACGGGAGGCUGCAGUGAGGAAUAUUGGUCAAUGGACGAGAGUCUGAACCAGCCAAGUAGCGUGAAGGAUGACUGCCCUAUGGGUUGUAAACUUCUUUUAUAUGGGAAUAAAAUGUUCCACGUGUGGGAUUUUGUAUGUACCAUAUGAAUAAGGAUCGGCUAACUCCGGGCCAGCAGCCGCGGUAAUAAGGAGGAUCCGAGCGUUAUCCGGAUUUAUUGGGGUUAAAGGGAGCGUAGGUGGAUUGUUAAGUCAGUUGUGAAAGUUUGCGGCUCAACCGUAAAAUUGCAGUUGAAACUGGCAGUCUUGAGUACAGUAGAGGUGGGCGGAAUUCGUGGUGUAGCGGUGAAAUGCUUAGAUAUCACGAAGAACUCCGAUUGCGAAGGCAGUUCACUGGACUGCAACUGACACUGAGGCUCGAAAGUGUGGGUAUCAAACAGGAUUAGAUACCCGUGUAGUC